GAUGAACGCUAGCGGCGUGCCUAACACAUGCAAGUCGAGCGAUUCUCUUCGGAGAAGAGCGGCGGACGGGUGAGUAACGCGUGGGUAACCUGCCCUGUACACACGGAUAACAUACCGAAAGGUAUGCUAAUACGAGAUAAUAUGCUUUUAUCGCAUGGUAGAAGUAUCAAAGCUCCGGCGGUACAGGAUGGACCCGCGUCUGAUUAGCUAGUUGGUAAGGUAACGGCUUACCAAGGCGACGAUCAGUAGCCGACCUGAGAGGGUGAUCGGCCACAUUGGAACUGAGACACGGUCCAAACUCCUACGGGAGGCAGCAGUGGGGAAUAUUGCACAAUGGGCGAAAGCCUGAUGCAGCAACGCCGCGUGAGCGAUGAAGGCCUUCGGGUCGUAAAGCUCUGUCCUCAAGGAAGAUAAUGACGGUACUUGAGGAGGAAGCCCCGGCUAACUACGUGCCAGCCGCCGCUGUAA
rnacentral:rRNA from 1 species